UGGGCAACCUGCCCCAAGGAGCGGGACAACCCGGGGAAACUCGGGCUAAUAUCGCAUGUUCCGCGGUGCCUCAAGGCACCUCGGGAAAUGGUAGCUUCGGCCUCCGCCUUGGGAUGGGCCCGCGGCGCAUUAGCUUAUUGGUGGGGUAACGGCCCACCAAGGCGACGAUGCGUAGCUGGUCUGAGAGGACGAUCAGCCACACUGGGACUGAGACACGGCCCAGACUCCUACGGGAGG
rnacentral:rRNA from 1 species